UACGGAGAGGGCAAGUGUUAUUCGUAUUGACUGGGUGUAAAGGGAGUGUAGGUGGUUUGUUAAGUUUCAAAGAAAAUAUUAGUUUUAUUUUCUAAGCUCUUUUUUAAUACUAAUAAGCUUGAGUAUUUUUAGGAGAAGGUUGAAUAUUGGGUGUAAGAGUAAAAUCUUUUAAUAUUCAAGAGGCAUUCAUUUUGCGAAGGCGACCUUCUAUUUUAGUACUGACACUGAGGCUCGAAGGCGUGGGUAUCGAAUGGG
rnacentral:rRNA from 1 species